rnacentral:tRNA from 1 species
GAGCCGGUAGCUCAGCUUGGUAGAGCAACGGACUUUUAAUCCGUGGGUCGCGGGUUCAAAUCCCGCCCGGCUCAC